rnacentral:lncRNA from 1 species
AAAGGAGAUAAAGGCUGUAGAGCCAGGCUCCCAGAGGGGGAAAACCCCUCGCAAUAAGAAACAUUAUUGCACAUGACUGGACUGGAGAGGGAGAUAAAUAAUUCAGCUGCCACACUAAAUACUGGAGAGGAGCUGACGGGGAGGAAGAUAUCGUGAAACCUGGGCUGGGAAAACAAGCCUUUCUUAAGAAGCCAGCAAACCGUAGUACAGUUUUACUUAUUGCUCUUAAAAUUCAGAGAGCACAGCUCGGCAUGACAUCCUGUCACUGAACCUGACCUCCUCUGUGUGUGUACAGCAUCAGGAUGGCUCCCUGGUGAUACUAUGUCCUCCCCGGUUCAUCCUGGCCACAUGUGUUCUCUGUCAAUACUGCUGCAGCACCAGCUAUCACAUUCAGCUUCAGAGACC